CACUUAAGCUGGAGGCUUUUGUUUUUCUUGGUAAUCAGGGUAUUCUAGGGGCAUUCCAAUGAAGAAAACUUGGAAGGGGAUAGGUAAAAAAGGAGAUCUUGAGAUAAAGGAAGGACUAGUUUUCAGUUGUCUAGGGUUGUGUUUCCUAAAUCUCAAAGCAUUGUCACCUGAAAUGUUGGUUACUAUGCAGCCAUAAAAAAUGAUGAGUUAGUGUCUUUUGUAGGGACAUGGAUGAACCUGGAAACCAUCAUUCUCAGCAAACUGACACAAGAACAGAAAAUCAAAAACUGCAUGUUCUCACUCACAGGCUGGAAUGUGGGUAGCAUGAUCACAGCACACCUUGACCUACUGGGCUCCAGCAAUCCUCCAGUCUCCACCUUCAAGUAGCAGAGACUACAGGCACAUGCCACCGCAUCUGGCUAAUUUUAAUAUUUUUUUUUUUUGUGGAAAUGAGAUCUCACUAUGUUGCCUAGGCUGGUCUUGAACUUUUGGGCUCAAGUGUUCCUCCCACCUUGGCCUCCCAAAGUGCUGGGAUUGCAGGUGUGAGCCACCAUGCCUGGACAGCAACUUGUUUUUAAAGGUAAUUUGUCUAUAAUUUCUCUUUUAUGUGUAACAUCACUGUAGAUUUCUGGUAUAUAAACUUUAUCAAGUUAAGGAAAUAUCCUUCUAGUCCUAAGUUUCUAAGAGUUGUUUUACUUAAAAUAAAAAUGGAUAUUGGACUUUAUCAAAUGUUUAGAUUUGAUUGACUAAUUUAAUAAUUUUUCUCCUAAAGUUUAUCAAUGUGGGGAAUUACAUUGAUAGGUUUUCUAAGAAUAAACCAUCCUUGCAUUCCUGGGAUAAACCUUACCUAUUAUGAUGUAUUAUUAUUAUGUCAUGUUGUGUUAGUCCUUAAUAUACUAUUGAAUUCAGCAAGCUAAUAUUUUGUUUAGGAUUUUUGAAUUGAUGUUCACAGUUUAGAUGGCCUAUAACUUUCUUUUCUUACAUUAACCUUAUUUAGCUUUAGAAUCAAGAUUACAGGAUUGGAUUUUUAAAAUAAAUUAAAUGCAGAACUCUGUCUUUUAGUUGGUGGGUUUAAUAUUCUUAAAUUCAUUAUAAUUACUGUGCUAGUAGAACCUACCCUGCCAACUUAUUCCUGUUUUCCAAUCAUUUUUAAAUAUAUCCUUCCUGUUUUUCAUAGAAAGAUCAAGUUUCUGUCAGAAUGC
rnacentral:lncRNA from 1 species